GAUGAACGCUGGCGGCGUGCCUAAUACAUGCAAGUCGAGCGAACAGACGAUGAGCGUGCUCCUCUAACGUUAGCGGCUGACGGGUGAGUGACACGUGGAUAACCUACCUAUAAGACGGGGAGGACUUCGGGAAACCGGAGCUAAUACCAGAUCAUAUGUUGUACCGCAGGGAUCAAGAGUGAAAGGCAGUUUUGCUGUCACUUAGAGAUGGAGCCGGGCCGCAUUAGCUAGUUGGUAAGGUAACGGCUUACCAAGGCAACGAUGCGUAGCCGACCUGAGAGGAUGAUCGGCCACACUGGAACUGAGACACGGUCCAGACUCCUACGGGAGGCAGCAGUAGGGAAUAUUCCGCAAUGGGCGCAAGCCUGACGCAGCAACGCCGCGUGAGUGAUGAAGGUCUUCGGAUCGUAAAGCUCUGUUAUUAGGGAAGAACAAAUGUGUAAGUAACUACGCCCGUCUUGACGGUACCUAAUCAGAAAGCCACGGCUAACUACGUG
rnacentral:rRNA from 1 species